rnacentral:rRNA from 1 species
UGUGGUUAAAAAGCUCGUAGUUGGAUCUCAACAGCCUUGAAGCGGUUAACUUUGUAGUUUUACUGCUUUAUAGGCUGUGCUUUUGCUGGAGGUUUAGGGGUGCUCUUGAUCGAGUGUCUCUGGAUGCCAGCAGGUUUACUUUGAAAAAAUUAGAGUGCUCAAAGCAGGCUAAAAUGCCUGAAUAUUCGUGCAUGGAAUAAUAGAAUAGGAUGUCGAUCCUAUUUUGUUGGUUUUCGGGACUCGACAUAAUGAUAAAUAGGGACAGUCGGGGGCAUUUGUAUUCAAACGACAGAGGUGAAAUUCUUGGACCGUUUGAAGACAAACUACUGCGAAAGCAUUUGCCAAGAAUGUUUUCAUUAAUCAAGAACGAAAGUUAGAGGUUCGAAGGCGAUUAGAUACCGCCCUAGUUCUAACCAUAAACGAUGCCAGCUAGCGAUCUGCCUGCGUUUUUACUGUAGACUGGGCAGGAAGCUUCCGGGAAACCAAAGCAUUUGGGUUCCAGGGGAAGUAUGGUUGCAAAGCUGAAACUUAAAGGAAUUGACGGAAGGGCACCACCAGGAGUGGAGCCUGUAGCUUAAUUUGACUCA